AGCGUACACGGUGGAUGCCCUGGCAGUCAGAGGCGAUGAAGGACGUGCUAAUCUGCGAUAAGCGUCGGUAAGGUGAUAUGAACCGUUAUAACCGGCGAUUUCCGAAUGGGGAAACCCAGUGUGAUUCGUCACACUAUCAUUAACUGAAUCCAUAGGUUAAUGAGGCGAACCGGGGGAACUGAAACAUCUAAGUACCCCGAGGAAAAGAAAUCAACCGAGAUUCCCCCAGUAGCGGCGAGCGAACGGGGAGCAGCCCAGAGCCUGAAUCAGUGUGUGUGUUAGUGGAAGCGUCUGGAAAGGCGUGCGAUACAGGGUGACAGCCCCGUACACAAAAAUGCACAUAUUGUGAGCUCGAUGAGUAGGGCGGGACACGUGGUAUCCUGUCUGAAUAUGGGGGGACCAUCCUCCAAGGCUAAAUACUCCUGACUGACCGAUAGUGAACCAGUACCGUGAGGGAAAGGCGAAAAGAACCCCGGCGAGGGGAGUGAAAAAGAACCUGAAACCGUGUACGUACAAGCAGUGGGAGCACGCUUAGGCGUGUGACUGCGUACCUUUUGUAUAAUGGGUCAGCGACUUAUAUUCUGUAGCAAGGUUAACCGAAUAGGGGAGCCGAAGGGAAACCGAGUCUUAACUGGGCGUUAAGUUGCAGGGUAUAGACCCGAAACCCGGUGAUCUAGCCAUGGGCAGGUUGAAGGUUGGGUAACACUAACUGGAGGACCGAACCGACUAAUGUUGAAAAAUUAGCGGAUGACUUGUGGCUGGGGGUGAAAGGCCAAUCAAACCGGGAGAUAGCUGGUUCUCCCCGAAAGCUAUUUAGGUAGCGCCUCGUGAAUUCAUCUCCGGGGGUAGAGCACUGUUUCGGCAAGGGGGUCAUCCCGACUUACCAACCCGAUGCAAACUGCGAAUACCGGAGAAUGUUAUCACGGGAGACACACGGCGGGUGCUAACGUCCGUCGUGAAGAGGGAAACAACCCAGACCGCCAGCUAAGGUCCCAAAGUCAUGGUUAAGUGGGAAACGAUGUGGGAAGGCCCAGACAGCCAGGAUGUUGGCUUAGAAGCAGCCAUCAUUUAAAGAAAGCGUAAUAGCUCACUGGUCGAGUCGGCCUGCGCGGAAGAUGUAACGGGGCUAAACCAUGCACCGAAGCUGCGGCAGCGACGCUUAUGCGUUGUUGGGUAGGGGAGCGUUCUGUAAGCCUGCGAAGGUGUGCUGUGAGGCAUGCUGGAGGUAUCAGAAGUGCGAAUGCUGACAUAAGUAACGAUAAAGCGGGUGAAAAGCCCGCUCGCCGGAAGACCAAGGGUUCCUGUCCAACGUUAAUCGGGGCAGGGUGAGUCGACCCCUAAGGCGAGGCCGAAAGGCGUAGUCGAUGGGAAACAGGUUAAUAUUCCUGUACUUGGUGUUACUGCGAAGGGGGGACGGAGAAGGCUAUGUUGUCCGGGCGACGGUUGUCCCGGUUUAAGCGUGUAGGCUGGUUUUCCAGGCAAAUCCGGAAAAUCAAGGCUGAGGCGUGAUGACGAGGCACUACGGUGCUGAAGCAACAAAUGCCCUGCUUCCAGGAAAAGCCUCUAAGCAUCAGGUAACAUCAAAUCGUACCCCAAACCGACACAGGUGGUCAGGUAGAGAAUACCAAGGCGCUUGAGAGAACUCGGGUGAAGGAACUAGGCAAAAUGGUGCCGUAACUUCGGGAGAAGGCACGCUGAUAUGUAGGUGAAGUCCCUCGCGGAUGGAGCUGAAAUCAGUCGAAGAUACCAGCUGGCUGCAACUGUUUAUUAAAAACACAGCACUGUGCAAACACGAAAGUGGACGUAUACGGUGUGACGCCUGCCCGGUGCCGGAAGGUUAAUUGAUGGGGUUAGCGCAAGCGAAGCUCUUGAUCGAAGCCCCGGUAAACGGCGGCCGUAACUAUAACGGUCCUAAGGUAGCGAAAUUCCUUGUCGGGUAAGUUCCGACCUGCACGAAUGGCGUAAUGAUGGCCAGGCUGUCUCCACCCGAGACUCAGUGAAAUUGAACUCGCUGUGAAGAUGCAGUGUACCCGCGGCAAGACGGAAAGACCCCGUGAACCUUUACUAUAGCUUGACACUGAACAUUGAGCCUUGAUGUGUAGGAUAGGUGGGAGGCUUUGAAGUGUGGACGCCAGUCUGCAUGGAGCCGACCUUGAAAUACCACCCUUUAAUGUUUGAUGUUCUAACGUUGACCCGUUAUCCGGGUUGCGGACAGUGUCUGGUGGGUAGUUUGACUGGGGCGGUCUCCUCCUAAAGAGUAACGGAGGAGCACGAAGGUUGGCUAAUCCUGGUCGGACAUCAGGAGGUUAGUGCAAUGGCAUAAGCCAGCUUGACUGCGAGCGUGACGGCGCGAGCAGGUGCGAAAGCAGGUCAUAGUGAUCCGGUGGUUCUGAAUGGAAGGGCCAUCGCUCAACGGAUAAAAGGUACUCCGGGGAUAACAGGCUGAUACCGCCCAAGAGUUCAUAUCGACGGCGGUGUUUGGCACCUCGAUGUCGGCUCAUCACAUCCUGGGGCUGAAGUAGGUCCCAAGGGUAUGGCUGUUCGCCAUUUAAAGUGGUACGCGAGCUGGGUUUAGAACGUCGUGAGACAGUUCGGUCCCUAUCUGCCGUGGGCGCUGGAGAAUUGAGGGGGGCUGCUCCUAGUACGAGAGGACCGGAGUGGACGCAUCACUGGUGUUCGGGUUGUCAUGCCAAUGGCACUGCCCGGUAGCUAAAUGCGGAAGAGAUAAGUGCUGAAAGCAUCUAAGCACGAAACUUGCCCCGAGAUGAGUUCUCCCUGACUCUUUU
rnacentral:rRNA from 1 species